rnacentral:sRNA from 1 species
GUCAACAGCCCACUACCCUAAAGGGAUAGGGGCUUGGGAUGAAAAUCCCUAGUCUCUCCUCUGAAAGUAGUAUUGCAUAGUCUUCGGGCGAAUGUGAUGGUUGAAUAGCCUAAGUAUAUCGGAAUGUGCUUUGCACAGCGAAUAUACUACGUUACUGGAGAAUAUAUAGACACCUUAGAAUGUUUCCCAAGUUCUAAGCUCUGU